GCCUUUGAGACCUUUCAAGUCCUCUCCUCUGAAAGUUCCAUCCGUGUCCACUGGAUGGAAGUUGUUGGUCUCUUGAAAUUCAAUGAGUAGGUUGAAAUUCAAGAUACCCAGCCCAAACUGGGCAGAAGGGAGAAAUUCUUGGGCAGAGUUUGGAUUUCCAUUGGCAUUGAAUUUAAGCAUCAGGGUGUGUUUACUCAGAUUGGGGAGAACUUCUAGUGCCUCGUUGAUUAUUACCUCCUACCUGGCCCUAAAUUAUAGUCCUGAAAUAAGGAGGACUCAGGGCAAAAAACCCCACUUUUUUCCCCUUUGAAAGGGUGGUGAGCACCUGUAAUGGUAUGUGGCAGUUACCUUGGGAGACUGGGCCAAGAGAUGCUGCCCAGGGAACGGUCAGAGAAGAGACGGCAUAGCCCUCAGCUGGAUAGUGGGCGGGGCAAGAGGCUCAGAAGGGACCCUCCCUAGUUUCUCAGGCUGUAAAGGAGAUGGGGGGAUGAGUCUGAAGGGGAGGGUGAUAUAAUGGUAUGUGGGAAAGACCUGGGGAGACAGGGCCAAGAGACGCUGCCUAGGGAACGGUCAGAUAAGAGACAGCUUAGCCUGCAGCUGGAUAGUGGGCGGGGCAAGAGGCUCAGGAGGGACCCUCCCUAGUUUCUCGGGCUGUAAAGGAGAUGGGGGAGGAUGAAAUUGUCCUUUCAGACUUGCAAGAUUCUAUUAGUGUAGCUUUACCAUAAAGUAGAAUUAGCU